rnacentral:rRNA from 1 species
UAGGGAAUCUUCCGCAAUGGGCGAAAGCUUGACGGAGCAACGCCGCGUGAGUGAUGAAGGUCUUCGGAUCGUAAAACUCUGUUAUUAGGGAAGAACAAAUGUGUAAGUAACUAUGCACGUCUUGACGGUACCUAAUCAGAAAGCCACGGCUAACUACGUGCCAGCAGCCGCGGUAAUACGUAGGUGGCAAGCGUUAUCCGGAAUUAUUGGGCGUAAAGCGCGCGUAGGCGGUUUUUUAAGUCUGAUGUGAAAGCCCACGGCUCAACCGUGGAGGGUCAUUAGAAACUGGACAACUUGAGUGCAGAAGAGGAAAGUAGAAUUCCAUGUGUAGCGGUGAAAUGCGCAGAGAUACGGAGGAACACCAGUGGCGAAGGCGACUUUCUGGUCUGUAACUGACGCUGAUGUGCGAAAGCGUGGGGAUCAAACAGG